rnacentral:rRNA from 1 species
GAUGAACGCUGGCGGCGUGCCUAAUACAUGCAAGUCGAGCGAACAGACGAGAGUGCUUGCACUCUCUGACGUUAGCGGCGGACGGGUGAGUAACACGUGGGUAACCUACCUAUAAGACUGGGAUAACUUCGGGAAACCGGAGCUAAUACCGGAUAAUAUUUAGCUUCGCAUGAAGCAAUAGUGAAAGACGGUUCUGCUGUCACUUAUAGAUGGACCCGCGGUGUAUUAGCUAGUUGGUGAGGUAACGGCUCACCAAGGCAACGAUACAUAGCCGACCUGAGAGGGUGAUCGGCCACACUGGGACUGAGACACGGCCCAGACUCCUACGGGAGGCAGCUGUAGGGAAUCUUCCGCAAUGGACGAAAGUCUGACGGAGCAAUGCCGCGUGAGUGAAGAAGGUUUUCGGAUCGUAAAACUCUGUUGUAAGGGAAGAACAAGUACGUUAGUAACUGAACGUACCUUGACGGUACCUUACCAGAAAGCCACGGCUAACUACGUG